rnacentral:misc_RNA from 1 species
UGAGGUGCAUUUUGUUGAGAUGGACCCUUGGGUUGUCUCAGAUGUUCUCCGGCCAAAUUUAGAAUGGACUGGUUUCCUUGAUGCGUCUGUCAUACAUACUGUCCGUGUUGAAAGCUUCUUGGAGCGUGCCGAACAUUUUCUUGGUAAAGAUGGGAGCUUUGAUUAUAUUAGUGUUACACCACCAUACGCUGUUGUUGAUUACAGUAUAUUAAUGGAUCAAAUUUCAAAAUCAUCAAUUGUGGGAGAAAAUACAUUUAUACUGGUGGAGUACCCUUUCAGAACUGACAUGCUGGAUUCAUGUGGUUGCCUUGUUAAGAUAUCUGAUCGGCGGUUUGGUCGAACGCAUUUGGCAAUAUAUGGACCAAAG